rnacentral:lncRNA from 1 species
CAAGUUUGGUCUCCCAUCCUGGGCACUAGAAGGCUUGGAUUUGGAAGGCUUAGAAAGACUUGUUAAAGUGAGAACAGUGCUACUAACUCAAAUGAAACAAUUUGGAUUUGAAUGACUUAAUUAUCUUAUUCAACAAUCUUGGCUUUAAAUAGCCUUACAUCUGAAACUGAACUCCUACAUAUCUGCUAUUGUAUAGCAGCACAACUAACCAACUUGAACGAAACAACCCUAUUAAACAGACUCCUAAAGUCUAGGGUUUAUUGACUAAUGACCAAGUAAACAAGGACUCAGUAAACCCUAAGCCCUGAAAAUACGAAACCAACUCCUUCAUUCCCUCCCUUAAACUAACCUGAGUUAACAGUCAGUUUACUUGAUGCUGCACAAACACCGAGUUUAGCUCGAAGCUUUUGAAAACAAUCCAGCUUUAAAGGCUUUGUAAGAAUAUCAGCAAUCUGUUCUCCUGUUCCACAAUGUUCCAAUACGAUCACUCCAUCUUUAACCAAGUCUCUCAAAAAAUGGAAACGCACAUCAAUAUGCUUGCAUCUUCCAUGCAACACAGGAUUUCUUGACAACUUGAUUGUUGAAGCAUUGUCACACAGAAGUGUUGUGCCUCCAUCCAGCUUGUAUCCUAGCUCCUCUAGGACUCUUCUCAUCCAAAUAGCCUGACAUGCACAUGAUGCAGCUACAAUGUAUUCAGCCUCUGUUGUUGAUAAAGUAACAAUGGCUUGUUUAUUUGAUGACCAAGCUACUGCUCCAUUGCUCAGCAAAAACAAAUAACCAGAAGUGCUCUUUCUUCUAUCAACAUCACCUGCAUAAUCACUAUCAGUAUAAACUCUCAAUCCUACAGCCCCAUCACUUGCAUCUUCCCCAAAAACCUUCUGUCCUUCAGUUUCACUUCGACUAUACCAUAUGCCGUAGUCCAGUGUUCCUUUCAAAUACCUCAAAACUCUCUUGGCUGCCUUGAUGUGCAUUUGUGUAGGUAUGGACAUGAAACGACUUAACAAGCUAACCACAAACUGCAAAUCUGGUCUAGUAGAAGUAAGAUACAUCAAGCUUCCGACCAAUUGCUUGUAGAGUGUCUCAUCCAUCCUUUCGCCUUCUUCAUCACUGCUCAAUUUACUGCUUGGAACAAUCGAAUUAUGAACUGGAUUACAUUCUUCCAUUCCAAUGCUUCGUAAAACCUCCACUGCAUACUUGUACUGACAAAUAUGAAUUCCAUCUUGCUUCUACAUUACUUCUAUACUAAGAAAGAAUCUCAUCUUUCCUAGAUUAGUCAUAUCAAACUCCUUUUGCAUUGAGCUCUUAAAAUCUUCCAUCAUUAAAGAAUCAUUACCAUCAUAUAUAAGAUCAUCGACAUAAACACUGAUAAUGAGAACUUUACCUCCACUGCCUCUCUUGAUAAACAAAGUCUGCUCAUUCUGUCUGAAAACCUUCAUUGACAAAGUAAGACUCAAUACGACUAAACCAAGCUCUAGGUGCUUGUUUUAGUCCAUAUAAAGCCUUAUGAAGCUUGUGCACCUUGUGUUCACUGCCUUUGAUCACAUAGCCCUUAGGUUGUUCAACAUAAACAUCUUCCUGCAAUGCUCCAUGUAAGAAGGCCGAUUUAACAUCAAGCUGAAACAUCUUCCAGUCAUUUUGAGCAGCUUUAGCUAUGACCAUUCUCAUAGUAUCCAUCCGAGCCACUGGAGCAAACACUUCUGUAAAAUCUAUCCCAUGCUCCUGGGAGUAACUUUUUGCCACCAAACGAGCUUUAAGCUUGUCUACUUCUCCACGUUCAUUGAGCUUUGUUUUAUAAAUCCAUUUGACACCAAUGCAUCUAGCUCCCUUUGGUAACUCAGUAAGCUUCCAAGUCAGGUUCCUUUCAAUUGCUCUUAUUUCAUCAUCCAUGGCUUGUUUCCAUUCCUCACUCUUCUUUGCCUCUUCAAAGGUUGAAGGAUCACAAUUGUCCAGUUCCACCAUAUUGAGCUUCAUCACGUUUGCCUCCUCUUCAAUUAGUUCUGAAAGCUCCACUCCGGUAAGGUAGUCAUUAAGAUAAGGCGGCGGCCUUCGUACUUGUCCCUCCCUUGCUCCUGCAACAUUAGUUCCAUUGCCUAUGUUUCCUCUUAACAACCUUUCUUCUCUCUCUUGUGCUCACUACUGUUUUCUCUCAAAUCCCCUUCUACUCUCACUCUUUUGUUUCCCUGUGUUUCAUCAUCAUUCCCAUUCUCACUCUCAUCAUCUCCCUCUUCACUGUUUUCAUUAUCACUCCAAACCAAUUCUUCCCCAAUAUCAUAAUUGUCUCCCCAAUCCUAACUUUUUUCUUCCUAAACACCACAUCUCUACUCACUAUCCCUUGUUUGUUCUUCGGAUCAAAUAAUUUGUAAGCUUUAGACUCCGUACUCACCCCUAUAAGAACACAAGGAAAGCUUUUGUCAUCAAGUUUACCUCUCUUAGCUUCUGGUAUGUGAACAUGACCUAUGCAGCCCCAAACUCGAAAGUAUUCCACAGAAGGCUUGACUCCAUUCCAUGCCUCCCUUGGUGUUACAUCCUUGACAGCUAAGGUAGGGCAUAUGUUCAAGACAUAAAACGUCCACUUCACAGCCUCAGGCCAGAAACUUUUAGGAACUUUCUUUGCUGACAACAUGGAUCUCACCAUAUUCAUGACUGUCCGAUUCUUGCCUUCAGUGACACCGUUUUGCUGUGGUGUGUAGGCAGUUGUAAGUUGUCUCUGGAUUCCAUGCUCUUUGCAAAAAUCUUUGAAAGCAUUAGAGUUGAAUUCUCCUCCUCUAUCUGUUCUAUAGCACUUAAUCAGCUUCCCUGUUUCUUUCUCGACAAGACUCUUGAACAACUUGAAACAACGUAGGGCUUCUAACUUCUCAACAAGUAAAUACACCCAUGCUUUACGACUGAAAUCAUCUAUAAAGCAUAAAGUAUACCUUUUACCACUGUUAGAAGCAGGCUUGAUCGGACCACAGAUGUCUGAGUGAAUAAGCUCCAAGACUUCUUUUGCUCUCCACGAACUCUGCUUAGGAAUUGCAUUCCUGUGUUGCUUGCCAACCAAGCAAUCUGUGCAGGUGAUGUUUGAUGCUUCAAACUAAGGUAAGCCACAUACCAUCUUCUUAUCUUGCAGUGUCUUCAAACCUUUAUAGCUUAGAUCGAUGACCAUAUCGUUCAUGCCAAAGCUGUGACAAGUUCAUGGAACUCGUAUGCAAGCAGCUGACAGGUUGCAUACUCAAGGAGCAUUGAACUUGUGUUAUCAAUACAAACAUCAUGUUAGCACUCAUCACACUUUGAACUAGUAAACCUCUUUCUGGAUGAAAGAUUUUACACACUCCAUCUUGAAUCAGAAUGGCCAAACCCUUUUCUUGAAGUUGCCCUAUGCUCAAAAGAUUAUUCUUGAGUUCGGGUACGUAGUACACAUCACUGAUCACAAAAGCAGCUCCCUUCAUAGUCAGUCUGACACUCCCCUUUCCGGCUACUUGCAUUCUGGUAUUGUUUCCAAGCUUAACUGAAUGAUUGAACUUAUCAUUUAAGCUAGAAAACAUACUCUUGUCACCACACAUGUGAUUAGAACAUCCUGAGUCCAAGAACCAGACAUCACCCCUUUCUGCUUCACAUUCUUCCACCAAAGACAUCAACAGUAGCUCUUCAGUUUCAUCUAGUUCAGCAUAGUUAGCUUCCUUGUUCCACUUUGAACAUUCAUAAUGAAAAUGACCGAGAUUAUGACAUUUGAAGCAUUCCACAACAGCUUUGUUGAACAUCUGUCUGCCUCGGCCUCGUCCUCUUCCUCUCAUGUUUGCUCUUCCACGGCCUCUUACUCUAAAUCUGUCUUUAUGACUCACUUUCAAAGCUUGAUCUUCUCCUCUGUCAUGCCUCUGAAACUUCUGCUCAUGAACUACAAGUGAGCUUUGUAGUUCAUCAAUUGAGAUGGACCCAGUGUUCUUGGAUUCUUCUAUGGAUAUCACAACGUAUGUGAAUCUUUCUGUGAGAGUCUUGAGAACCUUUUCCACCACCUUUGACUCCGGCAUCUCCUCUCCAUUGCUUCUCAUCUUGUUCGUUAUUGCCAUAACUCGAACAAAAUAAUCCGAGAUGCUUUCACUAUUCUUCAUCUCCAGUACUAAAAUCCCUCCUUAAUUUUUGAAGGAUUGAUUUCUUGACACGAUCAUUCCCUCCAAACUUGCUCUUCAUGGACUCCCACACAAUCUUAGCUGUGCGACGUCUGUCAAGUAUCUGCUCAAAGGUCACUCGAUCAAUUGCUUGAAAGAGAUACCUCUUAACUUUAUGAUCUUUGGCUCUUGCAUCUUCGAGCUGCUCCCUCUGUGCCUCAGUGAGCAGUGCUCUAGCAGUUGGCUCUUCAAAGCCAUUCUCCACCAAGCUCCAUAGCCCUUUUGAUCUCUACAGAUUCUCCAUCAACUCACUCCAAUGAUCAUAGUAGUGACCAUCGAAGAGUGGAACUUUCAUCUUCUCUUCACUCAUCUUUCUGUGUAUCACUCAAGAACGCUACUGCUUCUUUUUCUCAGGCCCAGUGGGGGCUCUGAUACCAGAUUGUUAAAGUGAGAACAGUGCUACGAACUCAAAUGAACAAUUUGGAUUUGAAUGACUUAAUUAUCUUAUUCAACAAUCUUGGCUUUAAAUAACCUUACAUCUGAAACUGAACUCCUACAUAUCUGCUAUUGUAUAGCAGCACAACUAACCAACUUGAACGAAACAACCCUAUUAAACAGACUCCUAAAGUCUAGGGUUUAUUGACUAAUGACCAAGUAAACAAGGACUCAGUAAACCCUGAGCCUGAAAAUACGAAACCAACUCUUUCAAGACUCAGUGACUCUUUGGACCCAGAUUUGGAGGAACCAGCAAGGGCCUUGCUAGAGCUCCGAGUGGUCUUUCGAGAAGGCUCUGUGAAUUCAAGGUCAGAGCUAGAGGAACCCGAGAGCUCGAUUGGAACGGUCUCUUCAUCAACGCAAAAAUCCAACCUUUCAAGAAAAAAAAUAGUUGAAAUCCAAAUCAAAACUAUAAACGUUCAAAUCACAUAAAUAACUCUGAAGUACAUAGAGAAUUGAAAUAAUUAUCCAAUGAAGAAGAUGCAGAAGUUUAAAUAAGAUUACCUAUCCCGCUACCCGGAAGAUACUUAUCCAAUUUGUUUAUACAAAAAAAUGACUGUUGUAUGUUGUAAACACAUGGAAACAAGAUCUGAUAGAAAUGGAUUUGAGGCAGAUUGAGGAAGAUUCAUCCCUCCUUUGACAUAAGUUUUCAUUCUAUAGCUAGAUCUCAUAUCCUGCUUGCUUCUUGGUUUAGAGUUUAAGAUUGAUAAAUAUUAAAGGGAGCUGGGAGCACUCAUAUACUGCGCACUUGUAU